UACGUAGGGUGCAAGCGUUGUCCGGAAUUAUUGGGCGUAAAGAGCUCGUAGGCGGUCUGUCGCGUCUGCUGUGAAAACUCAGGGCUUAACCCUGAGCUUGCAGUGGGUACGGGCAGACUAGAGUGCGGUAGGGGAGACUGGAAUUCCUGGUGUAGCGGUGAAAUGCGCAGAUAUCAGGAGGAACACCGGUGGCGAAGGCGGAUCUCUGGGCCUUACCUGACGCUCAGGCGCGAAAGCUAGGGGAGCGAACUGG
rnacentral:rRNA from 1 species